rnacentral:rRNA from 1 species
UACAGAGGGGGCAAGCGUUGUUCGGAAUUACUGGGCGUAAAGGGCUCGUAGGUGGCCAACUAAGUCAGACGUGAAAUCCCUCGGCUUAACCGGGGAACUGCGUCUGAUACUGGAUGGCUUGAGUAUGGGAGAGGGAUGCGGAAUUCCAGGUGUAGCGGUGAAAUGCGCAGAUAUCGGGAGGAACACCAGUAGCGAAGGCGGUUCUCUGGGCCGGUACUGACGCUGAGGAGCGAAAGCGUGGGGAGCAAACAGG